UGGGGAAUAUUGCACAAUGGGCGCAAGCCUGAUGCAGCCAUGCCGCGUGUGUGAAGAAGGCCUUCGGGUUGUAAAGCACUUUCAGCGAGGAGGAAGGUGGUGGACUUAAUACGUUCAUCAAUUGACGUUACUCGCAGAAGAAGCACCGGCUAACUCCGUGCCAGCAGCCGCGGUAAUACGGAGGGUGCAAGCGUUAAUCGGAAUUACUGGGCGUAAAGCGCACGCAGGCGGUUUGUUAAGUCAGNUGUGAAAUCCCCGGGCUCAACCUGGGAACUGCAUUUGAAACUGGCAAGCUAGAGUCUCGUAGAGGGGGGUAGAAUUCCAGGUGUAGCGGUGAAAUGCGUAGAGAUCUGGAGGAAUA
rnacentral:rRNA from 1 species